rnacentral:rRNA from 1 species
GCAUAUCAAUAAGCGGAGGAAAAGAAACCAACCGGGAUUGCCUUAGUAACGGCGAGUGAAGCGGCAAAAGCUCAAAUUUGAAAUCUGGUACCUUUGGUGCCCGAGUUGUAAUUUGUAGAAGGUAACUUUGGGGCUGGUCCUUGUCUAUGUUCCUUGGAACAGGACGUCAUAGAGGGUGAGAAUCCCGUGUGGCGAGGAAUCCAGUCCUUUGUAAAGUGCUUUCGAAGAGUCGAGUUGUUUGGGAAUGCAGCUCUAAGUGGGUGGUAAAUUCCAUCUAAAGCUAAAUAUUGGCGAGAGACCGAUAGCGAACAAGUACAGUGAUGGAAAGAUGAAAAGAACUUUGAAAAGAGAGUGAAAAAGUACGUGAAAUUGUUGAAAGGGAAGGGCAUUUGAUCAGACAUGGUGUUUUGCGCCCCUUACCUCUCGUGGGUGAGGGAAUCUCGCAGCUCACUGGGCCAACAUCAGUUUUGGUGGCAGGAUAAAUCUAUAGGAACGUAGCUUACCUCGGUAAGUAUUAUAGCCUGUGGGAAUACUGCCAACCGGGACUGAGGACUGCGACUUUUGUCAAGGAUGUUGGCAUAAUGGUUAUAUGCCGCCCGUCUUGAAACACGGACCAAGGAGUCUAACGUCUAUGCGAGUGUUUGGGUGUAAAACCCGUACGCGUAAUGAAAGUGAACGUA